GCGACAAAUAUUACGUCUAUAGAAUAUACGCGCGCAAUAGAAAGGCAUACGUAUCAUUACCUCUGAGUAUAAUCUGAAAAUAUAUGCAUGCGAUGAAAAAGCGUAUGUACUGCUGCGUAAAUCUUGAGAAUAUACGCGCGCGAAAGAAAACCAAAUGAUACUGUCAGUGAUGUUCUAGCGUGGAUCUCAGUACAGAUAAUCACAAACAGUACGAAAAUGAGAUGAUUCGCAGUAGUGGGAUGUCGCGUGCUGUUAGGGAUAUUAGCAAAUUAUACCUUCAGUACUCAUAUAAGUUAUUAUAUUUUUUAAUACUUUUUUUGUUAAUAAUUUUUUAAUAAAGAGCGAGCGACGGCUAAAACCUUUUGAAUGUUAUUCAGGAUGAUGAUCUUGAUAACAUACAUCAAAGUCAAAGUCAUCGAGGCAGACUCCCCUCAUCGGUAUAUUUAUCCUUAUAUUUCGAAGUUUUGUUAAUAACUUUAAUAAAUAACGAGCGACGACUAAAAUCUCUUAAGAAUUAUUCAGGAUUUUGACCUUGAUAACAUAUGUCAAGGUCAAAAUCAUAACACUGGUCUUCAUUAUUGUAAAGUUUUAUUUAACAUUUUUACUAUUUCACUAUAAAAAAUAGUUUUCCUAUGCUAGUUGUCAAAAAUCCUUUCAGGAGCUUUCAUUUUGAUUCAAAGGUAACUUUCCACAAAAUUUCAUCGAAAUCGGAGGUAUGUCGUUUUCGGAACUCCAUCCUAUAUUUGUUUUAUAUAUUCAACUCUGACAAUUUUACACAACCUAAAUAAAUAUGACAUUCUCCGUUUCUGACAAUUCUCAACAAUUUUCCAAAUAACAGAAACACUCGUGAAAUCGAGCACAAACAAAUCAUAUUUUACUCUUCGACGAUGAUGAAUAUAUUUAACUAGCACAAGAUUUAUUUACAACUCGCUUCACCCAAGUAGGAAACUCUUCCUUAUAUAAGAUACGCUCAGCGAAAAGCUAUUGCUCAUUGGAUCGUAGACCAUCCAGCUACAAAAUACAUUCGACAUGCGUGGAAACUUGCUGUGUCUUCUAUUGUUAUUUGUCGUUCUGAAGAAAGCCUCCGUAAAAUCUUGUAAAUACUGGUGCAGAAUGAACGAUCAUCGCUAUUACUGUUGUCCGAGCGGAAAAAGCGACUCCUCGUCGCGAUACGACUGGCAUUCGUUCUUUUUUCCUUGGUUGUGGCUUGGCAUUACCACCGAGCCACGUGUCGAACGACCUUGGUACGAACUCAUGAUAAAAUGGAAACCGAAAAAGCAUUGUCCACCCUUGAGGGCUUAUUGUCCUAGAAUUUAUGAAUGGUACAAACCACCUGACCCUUGCAACGAUGAUCACGAAUGCGAGGAAUGGCAAAAGUGUUGUUAUGAUGUAUGCCUGGAACAUAAGACGUGUAAGAAUGCGGAAUAAAUGUCCCUUUGUGAUUUCUAGAUGAAGCUUUGAGAUAAUACUCUUUUACCGUAUUCAAACAAUUUUACUUUUAUUUCAAUAUUAUUUUUAUUAUUUAUAUUAACGCACUGAUGACGACAUGUUCUUAUACCUUCGUCAAACUCUCGUAUAAUCAAGAGUGAUAUAAAAUAUUGUCCAAACUGA